AUUCCCUUCCAGAUGUGCAGCGGCAGAGGCGUCGUUCGGCCCUUCCAGAUGUGGCAGAUGUGCAGCAGAAGAAGGGAGAUUCUGUCCUUACAGAUGGACCAGCGUGGGGGAGAUGCUCCAGCUGUUCCGCAGCAGGGAGGGGAUUCUGCCCCUCCCGAUGGUCUUGCAUUCACACAGCUGGAGGUUGGGAAGAACACUGCUGAGGCAUCAGGGAUGGCGAGGGGGAGGGACUGCUGUGUUCUCUGGCCCUUCAUCCCUAGCCCCCUGCCUGUCUCAUACACACCCCUUCAACCAUCUGGAGUGACAGAGCUGGAGAAGUCGGGCUGGAACUCUGUGCUGAAGUGCAGCAGCUGUUUAGCAGCAAACAGCAAGAACACUGUGCAACAGUGAGGAAUGAUGGUGUGAAGAAUAUCAUAGCCAAAUGAAACCACAGAGAGAAUUUAAAUAGGCAGAAAAAAGGCACUGGAAUUAAUCCAAGACACUGUGGUUAGUACUGAAACUGCUGGGAGAAGUUCCAUGAAUCUUUAAGGAUCCAGACCUUGGUUUUGUGGUUUCUGUCCUGUUCCUGUGGGAAUCCUUUAAGAUUCCUCCACAUUGUUUUCCCAUUCUUUUUGUAUCCAACCAUGCCGACACAGUGAGUCCAAGGCUGUUUUAUAAUCCUCAAAAGACAUGUUCUUGCCUGUUACUGUCCUCGGACCCACCUAAUCCAUUCUUCCUUCCUCCUGAUCCAGGA